rnacentral:rRNA from 1 species
UACAGAGGCCUCGAGCGUUAGGCGGAAUCACUGGGCUUAAAGCGUGUGUAGGCGGACUUCUAAGUACCUUGUGAAAUCCCACGGCUCACCCGUGGAACUGCUCGGUAUACUGGUCGCUUUGAGCCUUCUAGGGGCGAGUGGAACAAAUGGUGGAGCGGUGAAAUGCGUAGAUAUCAUUGGAACGCCAAUGGUGAAAACAACUCGCUGGGGAAGUGCUGACGCUGAGACACGAAAGCCAGGGGAGCGAACGGG